UCCCUGGUGGCUUAGAUGGUAAAGAAUCUGCCUGCAAUGCGGGAGGACCUGGGUUCUAUCCCUGGGUAGGGAA
rnacentral:tRNA from 1 species